ensembl:lncRNA
GGCAGGAGUGAAGUGAAACAGGGUUCCUGUCUCUUUAAAAAGCGCUUUGCACGUCCUGAAAAAACAGAAAGCGCCUGCUCAGUGUUUCAGGAAUGGCAGAGUGAACUGUCUCACUCUCUCUCCCUCUCUCUCCCUCUCUCUCUCCCUCUCUCUCUCCCCCUCUCCGCCGGAUGUUUGCGGGGUUUUGCGGGUCUGCUCGCAGUGGGUUGUGCGCUGUAGUCGGGUGGAGGAUGUGGAGAUGUGGGGAUGUGGAGCUGUGUGUUUUGGGGGAAACAGAUGGCUUCUUUGCGCUGUGUUUUUCUCCUCGACUCGCGCUGAGCUGCUGACCUGCUAAAACUUGCCCCUUUUUUCUUUUUCUGGAUUUACUCUGGAUUUGUCUGGAUUUCUCCCGAAGUCGGAUAUUUUCCCCCCAGAUCCUUCCUGCGGUGUGUGCUGACAGCUGGGUCAUGCUUUUGGGUGGUGUGAGGGAUGGUGGUUGCACUGCGCUGCUUGCUGUCUGCAGUGCACACACACACACACACACACACACACUCACAUCACGCACACAUACAGGCACAUGAACACACACACACACACACACACGCACGCACGCACACACACACGCACACACACUCUCCCUCUCCCUCCCUCUCUCUCUCUCUCUCACACACACACACACACACUCACACACACACUAAUGGCGCUUGCAACAAAGUUGCGGAGCUGUAACUAAAAUCAGAGUCUGGAUGUUACACCUGUUCACGUUUGCGCGGCCAUUUUGGAUCUGGACAACACACAUGGAUCAGCUGAGCGGGGGCGUGUUCGCGGUGGCAUUACGGCUCUUUGCGUCCAAGGUCACACUGUAGCUGAUUCACGGAUCAUCCACGCACACGCGCUCACGCACAAACACGCACGGGGUCGCGCAUGGCCGCGUGUGCGUUACUGUGAUCGCGCCGCGGGGAUCCAAAAUGGAAGGGAAGAAAGUGAAGCAGACCCGGAGGUCCCGUACGCACCGGGAGCGCGUGCGGCGGCGGGAGACGCGCACAGAACCGAGUCCGGCUUCCUCCGGAUCCGAGCGCGAGCGCAGGGCCGCUGCUUCUGCCGCUUCUGCUGCCGCUUCCGCCGCUGCUCCUGUGAGCCAUAAGGGCAGGAAAUCCGCGUCCUCCUCCUCAACAACAUCAUCAACGUCAUCAUCAGCGUUUACAUCUUCAUCUCCCAUCAUCUCCUCCUCAGUGUUCCCCUCCAGAGGCUCGCGAGGAGCUCCACGCCGGAAGCGCCGCGUCUCGAGCUCUCAGGAUGAAGAUGAAGAAGAGGAGGACAUCAUUGACGGCUUCGCCAUCGCCAGCUUCUCCAGCCUGGAGGGUCUGCAGGUAAAAACACGCGGGAUGACACACACACACACACACACACACACACACACACACACACACACCAAACUUUAUUGUCCAUCACAAGCAACAAGGUUUCAGCACACACAUAACAGCUUCUCUUCUUUAUUAUUCAUACACUCUUUAGUUGAGGCCCUUUAUUAAAAAUAAAGGUUCUUCAGUGUUCCCAUAGGUUCUACAAAGAACCUUCUUCUUGUCAGGAACCAUUUCCCACUGUGUAGGGUUCUUGAGUUGAGCUGUGUGGUUCUUUGGAGAUUAAAGAAGUUGUUUAUGUUUCAUCAUAGCUUCUUCAGAGCAGUGUGUCGGUUCUUCAAGGUGUCAUCCCUUAACACGUUAAAGUGAACCCUACUGUAUAAGGUUCUUUGUGGGACUGGAAAAGGUUCUCCUGGCAGACAUCACUCUUAAGAACCUAACUUUGGUUGCUUAAAGCAGUAAGUAAGGGUUUUUUAGAAAGAACUUAUGAUAACAAGGUUCCUUGUAGCACUGCUAUGAAGAACCAUUUGUGGGUUCUUUAAAGUGGCAGUAAAUAGAGGGUUCUCUACAGAACAUGAGAGUAAAAGGUUCUUAGCACAUCUUAAAAGGGCUAAAAAACUCUUUUUUAGUUCUAACUGUAACCUUUAUUUUGAAGUGUUUUGAGUGUCUGACCUAGAGUUCUGUAAAAAAAAAAAAAAAAAGUUUUUUUUUAAAAAAAGGAACAGAAUUUAAGAAAUUUAAGAAAUCAAUCCGUCCAAGUGCUGAAAAUUUGUUCCCGUAGGACCCUGCAGAGUUCUUCUGUUCGUCCCUCUAGAACCCAACACCAGAACAUGUUCAGUUGUUUCCAGAGAAAAAUGUUCCAGGUCGUGUCUGAGUAACCAUCUAAAGAACUUUAUUCCACUGAGAGAUGUAUUACACACGAGCGCCACGUUGGAAUCAGAUUUUUGCGACCUCCGAUUUGGCGAGGAGGAAAGUCUGAAUGUCAGUGUCCUGUCAGGACGAAUUACACACCGCAGAAACACUGCUCUCGUCAUGCUGUUGAACUUCAGACAGUACCGGAACCUUCCUGUCCGCAGGAAUUACACACAAACACUACACAAAAAACUCAUUUCACUUCAUAAAGUUUGGAAAUGUUGACUGCUUUGAUCUGGGCGUCUCGUGCGACGUUCUUACUUGACGUCUCACUUCACUUCCUGUCGUUACACGUUAGCGUAUCAUACACACGCGCUUGAUACUUCUAGAACUUUCUCGAUCGGACUGAUCUUUUCGGCCUCGUAUAAGUCGACUGAGCUCGAAGUGACUUGUAACUCUGUCGUGUGAGAUGGAAGUAUGACGCGUGAUGAGCGCGUGGUGGUCCAGCUCUGUGCAGAGUUUCCUGUCUUCUCCUCCUGUCUGUACGGGUUUCCUCCGGGUUCUCCGGUUUCCUUCGAACCCCAAGAACACGCCUGAUCGGCUACGCUAAAUGACCUCUAGGUGUGAAUGAGUGUGUGAUAGCCCGGCGUCCCAUCCGGAGUGUAUUCCCGUAUAACGGUCUGAUUACCGAAGAUGAUGAUCUCAGUGUUGCAUUACACACAAUAAAUAAACGCUGGAGAACGUCCAGUACACACCGCAAGAUUAGAGUAGAAGUGUGAACACACAGCGGAGUCUAAACGAGCAGGAACUAUGAGAGAAGCGUGUACGUAUCUGUAACCCAGGAUCAGGUCAGCAUCAGGGUCGGCAGUGAGAACAGAUCUGAUUGGUUGAUGGUGUUAAGUAGACGCGUUUUCAGUGUGCGGUAUAUUCACAGGUUCGUGUUUUAUUACUGCGACUCAGGGACGUCUUGUCUUGUGCACGUCAUUAUAGUGCACACUUUCAGGCCUUGUUUUAUUUCAGUUUUUAAAUUAGACUUUAAAAAAAACAACUGACUUCCUUUUACUAGAAUUUUAUUAUUCGUUUAUUUACUAGUGUUUUACUUUUAUAUCGCUGUCAUAUUAUUUUAAUUAUCGUACUUUUAUUGUAUUUGUACACACACUUUUUAUUUUAUAUUGUUAUUAUUUUCUUUGUCACUACUGUUGUUUAUUUCAUUAUUAUUAUAUUUAUAAUUAUUAUUAUUUGGCUAUUUUACUAUUUUAUUUUAAUCUACAUAUUGUUUGGGGUUUUUUUUUUCAGUUUGAUUUUCCACUGUAUGAACGGUGCUGUAUAAAUACACUUUAUUUGUUUGUUUGUUUGUUUGUUUAUUUAUUUAUUUAUUGAAUAGUGAAUUACACCUAGGGAGUAUGGAUGUGACUACAUGAUACGACAUAUAGUAAGUAAGUAAGUAUG